CUUCUGUGAUGAUACGAUGACGAGUCAGAAACGGGGCCUCCUUCUGCCCGGGGUCAGCGAUACCGUGCCAUGUUCUGUGGCCCUGUGUUGGUGGCUUUGGCAAAAGAAGGAGGCCCGGUCAUUGGAUGAACAAGAGGCAUUUGUCUGAGAAGG